UUAUUCACAGGAUUGCAGACAGAGCACAGAUCUGGACCGAGUAUGUUUCCAAGAGACCUUCUGGAGUUGUUGCCAUGAUUUUGGGCAUUGAUGAUGAGAAAGGAACUCCACAACUCUUUACAUGUGAUCCUGCUGGGUAUUUCUUCGGUCACAAGAUUGUAGAUCAGCUCUGUCUGUGUUUGUCACCUUGGAACACAGAAUCCCUACUACUCUCCCCC